rnacentral:lncRNA from 1 species
UUUGUUGGAUGAAUCUAAUGAGGGUGGUGCUAUUUCUGGGUUGAAACGUUUCACCGUUCCAUCUGAGAAAACUUGAAGAAAUUCUGGUGCUUCUGCAAUUAAGGACAUUUUAUUUUUGUUGCUUGCACAAAACUGAAGUGGUACUAGGUGGUGAGUUUCUGUAUCUGAAUUAUGACUUAGAGGUUAUUUUAUACAUAGCUGAAAAAAUUGUUUGUGUUUUUUUAUGAUAAUGUUGAUUGAUACAUUCUUGGUGGUUGCAAUUUGUAGGUCUUGUUAGGUUGGACAUGCAAAUCGUGCCCUGUAGCAUUUGAAGUUAAAAAAAGUUAAGGUGUUUUUUUCAUGAAACAAAAGAACAGAGUAAAAACUGAUAGGAAAAACAUGAAACGCGCCAGGUAGGGGUCGAACCUACGACUUUCUGCUUAGGAAACAGACGCUCUAUCCACUGAGCUACAGGCGCUUGUUGUUCUUUGUUACCGCAAGUUACAUUAUCUUUACUCUUUUGACUGUUGUUUUUGCAAAAAAGUUAUAUUUUGUUUAUUUUAAUCAAAAUAAUUGGGUUCAUGUGGUUAACGAGCUCCACUAAAAAUGAAUUGUUCAGAAGAAUUCAAAUUCCUAUGUAUAACAAUUAUUGGUCAUAUUAUACUUUCCUAGCGAAUCGGAAUGUCAACAAAAAAAAAAUUGUAUAUUUUGUUUGUCUCAAAUGUUUGUUACAGAGAAAAAAAAUUAGUAAAAAAAAAUAAUAUUUCUUGGGUUAUUCUUAUUAUUGGGUUAAUCUUUGAACAAUGAUAAUUUUUAGUUUCCCACCACCAAAGGUUAAAGACAAUCGUAUUCAGAAUAUUGUGUACUAAAUGCUAGUAUCUCAUCAACCGAAAUUCAAACUUUAAUUCACCAUAUUAUAAAAGUCUAACAUCUCCAGCUAUACACAAUUUCCUUUGUUUUUU